GUGAAUCAUCGAAUCUUUGAACGCACAUUGCGCUCUCUGGUAUUCCAGAGAGUAUGCCUGUUUGAGGGUCAGUUUAAAUAAAAAUCUGUGUGGUUGCUUCCUUUCGUGGUGACGCACCGGAUUUGAGUCUUCUUUCCUUCGGUUAAGUGACCUAAAUUUUUGCAUGGUUUUGUUCGAACGGAUUUAAAUGAUUUUACGUACGUUUGCGAUAUCAAAAACUAUGUUUUGUAAUCCUCAUGAUUGGCGCCUGUAAUUUUUCAU
rnacentral:misc_RNA from 1 species